rnacentral:tRNA from 1 species
AAUGUCAUCACAUCAGGAGAACGAUGGAUUUGUUUCUCCGAACUUUUCAGUAUUUCGAAGAGACCGUUGUUUCCAUCUUUCCUUUCCUGGACUAUUGUAUUGGGAUCCUAUCUUGAUCCUGUGGCGAUUUUGCAUGCAUAUAUUAUGCACAAGGACAGGUA